rnacentral:lncRNA from 1 species
CCUGUCUUCUUCUCCUGGUUUCAGAACUUGACAAUGUAUUUCCCUGGGAGCUGCUUCUUCCUCCUAACUGCCUGCCUUAUUGCUACAUCCUUUGGUAGCCGCCAAGGCAACAGCCACCAGUGCUUCCAAAGUGUGCCGUGGAGUGAGGUUUUACAGAAGAUUGAGCAACUGAACAAAAGAGGCUUUUCCUUGGAGUGUGAGGAAGUUAGCAGUGAAGAUUUGUGUUUUCCUGAGCAGAUGCUGAAAGCAGUUAAAUAUGAUAAUGCAGCCAUUGUUCACAUAGUGCAUGAAAUUGCUGAGUUUUUCAAGAGAGCAGACACUCCUUUUCAAAAUAAGGACACUUUUCUAAGAGAAAUGUAUGAGACUCAUGCUCAGCUCAAGACAUGUGUAAG